AUUGAACGCUGGCGGCAGGCCUAACACAUGCAAGUCGAGCGAGCGGCGGACGGGUGAGUAAUGUCUGGGAAACUGCCUGAUGGAGGGGGAUAACUACUGGAAACGGUAGCUAAUACCGCAUACCAUCAGAUGUGCCCAGAUGGGAUUAGCUAGUAGGUGGGGUAAUGGCUCACCUAGGCGACGAUCCCUAGCUGGUCUGAGAGGAUGACCAGCCACACGUGAACUGGGAAACGGUCCAGACGCCUACGGGAGGCAGCAGUGGGGAAUAUUGCACAAUGGGCGCAAGCCUGAUGCAGCCAUGCCGCGUGUGUGAAGAAGGCCUUCGGGUUGUAAAGUACUUUCAGCGAGGAGGCGUUACUCGCAGAAGAAGCACCGGCUAACUCCGUGCCAGCCGCCGCGGUAAUUC
rnacentral:rRNA from 1 species